AUGAUUAAGGAUAUGGCUGGAAGAACGGAUGACACAUUCUUUAUGGCCUGGCUUGCGAUACUAUACCUUGAUGCGCUCGUACAUGACAUCCCAGUAAGCAACUGCGCGAUACGAUCGAAUGCAUGGGAUAGUACUCUAAUUGUCAAGGUGAUCAAGAAGGAUACUAUCUCUCCUGGUGUGUUCGGCAAAUUACAACUUAAAGAGGAGUAUAGAGGCACGGAGCAGACACCACUGUUUGGUGGAAUUUUGCAAGCUGAAGCAUUCGUGGCAUCCAAGUUACCAAUAACAUACAAUCCGCAGAAAAAGGCAAAGAUUGCAAAAGUGGUCAAUGAGCUGUGCAAGGCUGUAACUGAACAGGUUGGCACCUUCAUUGAAGCAGUAGCCAAGAUCGAUGACGAGGAACCAGAUAUUGAUCCUUAUGAGAUGCCCUGGUCCUUGAACCCUUACGAAGAUCAAACUCUUAUCAUGGUGACGGGUUCUGCGAUGCACCAUCUUUUGACCUCGGCAUAG
rnacentral:rRNA from 1 species